UACAGGGGGUGCAAGCGUUGCUCGGAAUCAUUGGGCGUAAAGGGUAGGUAGGUGGUCUCAUUUGUCUCGGGUGAAAGCCUUGGGCUUAACCCAAGAAGUGCCCGAGAAACGGUGAGACUGGAGUCCUGGAGAGGGUCGUGGAAUUCCUGGUGUAGCGGUGAAAUGCGUAGAGAAUCGGGAGGAACACCAGAGGCGAAGGCGGCGACCUGGACAGGUACUGACACUCAACUACGAAAGCGUGGGGAGCAAACAGGA
rnacentral:rRNA from 1 species